rnacentral:lncRNA from 1 species
UUUGACUUGUACAAAUUGUGGAAGUCCAGUAGGAGUAUAGAGACAGACUUUGUAAUAUAUUACAAGACAUUUACAAGUUGAAAAAACUGCUUCAGUGAGUGAGCUACAGUGGUAGAAUUCUAAGAUGGCAUUCCAAUGUUCCAAUCCCCAGGUUAUUCAAUAAUAUGACUCCAGGUAUUGCUGUGAGGGGAUUUUGAAGAUGUAGUUAAAGCCCCAAAGUGGUUGACUUUUUACAAUACGGAGAGCAUUUGGUUGAGACUGAUCUAAUCACAUGAGCCCUUUCAAAGCAGAAUUUUCUCGGGCUAGUAGCAGAAUGGGAAUUGGAAAUUUAAAGUGCAAGAAGGAACUAAUGUGAAGAAGAUUCUCCAUUGCUGAGAUGGAGUGGGGCACGUGGCAGGGAUCUAAGAGUGGCCUCCAGAAGCUCUAAAUCUCCAGAAUCUCCAGGGAUUGGAACCAAGUGCUUUAUCUUUACCAUAUACCAAUCCAUGAAUCAACUCCAAAACAGAUCUCUAGAAACAGACAAGACUGACUACUGCCUGAAGGUUUCUGACACCAAGUUCCUGAGAGGAAUACAUUCUCUUCUCCUUUGGCUGCUUAAUCCCUUCUCAUGAAAAAUAACCUUGACCUUUGCAUUCUAGAUGUACCAAAUAUGAAAUAAUUUUAGAAUUCGAUCUCAAAUGGCCCUUUUGCAAACUCCAAAAUGUUGUAAUCUACCAAGACUAAGCAAAUGGCUGCUGAGAAGUUUUGCCAGG